GUGAAAGUUAUAUUUUGAUAAAACAGCUACGAAAUUUCUAGAAGUCUUCAUUUUAAAAGAUUUUAUACUUCGUCAAAGAGUAUACCAAAUUUUGGUAUUUGUUCUACUUUUUUUUGUGCAGCAGUUAGGUUGGGGAGCAGCACGUGCCUAUUCAUAGUAUGAAGUUCCUGUAGCUGUGUGUGGCGCCACAGCCUUCAUGGUCAUGUUCGUUGUUGUUGUUGUUUGGGGGCGUUGUAAUUGAUAAGUUAAUUUACAUUUUUAUUGAAUGGCCAACGCAAAUGUUGUGCUCUUUGUUGUCACGAAGGUCAGCGCGGUCCAGCGCCAACAGGAGUUGCUUUGCAUAUUUUCAUUGAGUUGAGUGGAGUGAAGUGGAGUGGAGGAACGGAACUCAGAACACACCCAUCCCGACAUGGAAAUGUGCGAAAAAUAUAAGGGCCUUUUCUUUGGUCUGUCAAGUUAAUAAAACGAAUUUGUGGUUUAUGUUCCUAACAAGUCGGCCGUGUAUAAAGCUCAAUUGUGUGUAAAGCCGAAGGCGAAGACUAGGAGCAAAUACCAGACGGCAAGCAGUUGAUAAAUUUGUUAAACUGAAUGAAUGAAAUGGGGAUGAAUUGAGGUUAGCCAACGAGUUGGAAUGAAAUGAAACGAAUCUAUACAACUGUGCCAAAUGAAAAAGUCAAGGAAUUAAAUGAAUUGUAAGAAAAAACCAAAAGUAAUCACACAUGGCAACUAGAAAUCAAUGGAAAAUGUUUCUCAUUUGGAUAACGACAGAAAAAAAGCACUUUCUAAUGAAAAGUUUACCCUGUUAGUUUCAAUCAAAUUUUGGUACACAAAUAUUUCUGUACACUUUAAUCAGACAUUGGAUAUUUGAAUGCCGAUACCCGCAGCGAAGGAAUCCGCAGGCCCCAUAUCAUCAGGAAGAUGGGGUGGUGCCAGAGCAAAACGAGAUGACCGGGACCUCGAACGUGAACGAGACCGGGAACGAGACAGGGACAGGGACCACGAACGUGAACCCGACCGCGCCCGUGACCGUAACCGCGACCCCGAAAACAAUCCCGGUGGAUUAUCAACGGAGGGGCGCAGGGAAAACCUCUUUGACCGAACGGUCCGCAAGAUGAAAAAGUAUAAAACAUUUUGUGAAUGGGCACUGGUAGCCAUAGUCGUUGUAUGUUCAAUAGUAGCUACGAUUGUCUAUAUUACAUAUAAUGAUUGGUUCAAGAAAGGACAGGGAGAAAAGAAAUAAAGCAAUUUAUCAAAAAUACCCCAAGGUAAUCGAUCGAUCAGUGCAUUGUGUUCAUUAAUUUUUAAAAAUAAUAGUUUAGCAACAAACUAAGAACUAAGAAAGAAGGCAGGCUGUACCCAAGAUAAAUAUCUGAAAAUAGAACAAAAACAAAUGUAGUAGACUGUUAGGUUCUAUCAAAUUUUGGUACACAAAUAUUUCUGUACACUUUAAUCAGACAUUGGAUAUUGGAAUGUCGAUACCCGCAGCGAAGGAAUCCGCAGGCCCCAUAUCAUCAGGAAGAUGGGGUGGUGCCAGAGCAAAACGAGAUGACCGGGACCUCGAACGUGAACGAGACCGGGAACGAGACAGGGACAGGGACAGGGACCACGAACGUGAACGUGAACCCGACCGCGCCCGUGACCGUAACCGCGACGGAGAGGAGAGGGAAGACCGCUAUGACCGAACGGUCCGCAAGAUGAAAAAGUUUGCAACAUAUUGUGAAUGGGCAUUCCUAGCCAUAUUCAUUGUAGUUGCAAUAGUAGUUUUGAUUCUCUAUUUUACAUGUAAAGAUUGUUUCAACAAAGUACUGGGAAAAAAUAACUAAAUCAAUUUAUCAAAAAUACCCCAAGGUAAUCCGAUCGAUCAGUGCAUUGUGUUCAUUAAUUUUUAAAAAUAAUAUUUUAGCAACAAACUAAGAACUAAGAAAGAAGGCAGGCUGUACCCAAGAUAAAUCUCUGAAAAUAGAACAAUAACAAAUGUAGUAGACUGUUAGUUUCUAUCAAAUUUUGGCUUCGAUUUACACACAUGUAAAUUACGUACAAAUGAUAAUACCCGCUGCAACCGAAUCCGAAGGCCCUAUAUCAUCAGGGAGAGGGCGUAGCAGAAGGAGAAACGACGACGACGAUGAUGAAGGCUUUUUCACGGAUCUCUGUGCAAUAUUAAGAGAUCAUCGGAAAAAGUGUUUAAUAUUUCUCGCAGUUGUGCUUGUCAUAUUUAUUAUAUUAUUAGUUCUCGCAAUUACAGUUCCAGAACUGUUUAAUCUGCUAACGAAGAAAAAAAAUUAUUAAGAGUUACGGUAAUUAUCAAUUGAAUUGUGUUCGUAGCACUAUAAUUUAUUUUCGAAUAUCAGCAAGAUGUUUGCAGACUUGGCGGUGGAAGCCGAAUCCGUGGACCGCAUAGGGUUCGCCUGUUGUUGGUGUCAAAAUCGAAGAAAUUGCUGCUUUGUCAUUUUGUUUGUAUUCUGUUUUAUAUCAUUAACAUGGCUGUGCGCGUCUUUCAGUAUCAGGGGCUGACGAAAGGAUU
rnacentral:lncRNA from 1 species